rnacentral:sRNA from 1 species
UAGACUCUCAAUUUUGAACUGUACAUAACAAAUAUUUUAGAAAAGUCUAAUUUACAAAUUUUCAUGAAUCAACCCUUCCUUAGCUCUGAGAGCUCAUCAGUAAACUCAUUUGCACUUGACCCAUUUUGAGUACAUGUGCUCACAGUUUGAUAUGGGUGUUUUGGGUUCCAUCAUCAUUUCUUGAAAACAAUUGCUCUUAGAUUACUUUUUUAUACCUUUGUCAGAAAUAGAUUGAUGAUAUCACUCUCCUUUUUUUCCCUAGGAUUUCCAUUCUGAACUACAUAUUUGUGUCUACUCUUUUACGGAUACAAUUUUGUUUGGUCUCAUAGGGAAAUAAUUGAGUUUCUAGUUAUCAUGGGACAUGCUUUAUGUAAACCCUUUAUAAGUUCAAGAAAAUUCCUUCUAUUUCUAGUUUUAUUUUGGAGUUUGCAACAUGACUGAGUGAUACUUUUAUAUAAUUGAAGGUUCUCCAUGUGUUAAAAUGACCAUUUUCCCUUUUUAGGUAUGCACAAGAUGACGGAACGAAUCAGUGUUAUAAAGCAUUGAAUCAGACUUGAACUUUUGAUGAAAAUGAGCCAUGAAAUCCACAACUUUAUUUAGUGGGGGAGAAUUUGAAUCAGUAUUAUAGUAUGGGUAUGGAUAAGAUGAAUGGAAUGAAUCAAUGUUAUAAAGUGUUGAAUCAUCCUUCAACUCUUGAUGUAAGCCUCAUUUGAUUAUUUUAUGUGUUUUUCCUUUAUAGGUUGCAGGAUGUUAUUUGUUCCAAUUUAUGAAUAGACUUUGUGAUAUGUUCACCUAGAAAUACCUGUCUUCUUCUUUUGUGAGCUCUAUGUCUUUGAAAUUACAUAAAUUG